AUACGUAGGGGGCGAGCGUUGUCCGGAAUGAUUGGGCGUAAAGGGCGCGUAGGCGGCCUGUUAAGUCUGGAGUGAAAGUCCUGUUUUCAAGAUGGGAAUUGCUUUGGAUACUGAUGGGCUUGAGUGCAGGAGAGGUUAUCGGAAUUCCCGGUGUAGCGGUGAAAUGCGUAGAGAUCGGGAGGAACACCAGUGGCGAAGGCGGGUAACUGGACUGCAACUGACGCUGAGGCGCGAAAGUGUGGGGAGCAAACAGGAUUAGAUACCCUGGUAGUCCACACUGUAAACGAUGAAUGCUAGGUGUAGGAGGUAUCGACCCCUUCUGUGCCGCAGUAAACACAGUAAGCAUUCCGCCUGGGGAGUACGGUCGCAAGAUUAAAACUCAAAGGAAUUGACGGGG
rnacentral:rRNA from 1 species